rnacentral:rRNA from 1 species
GUAGUCUGCAACUCGACUACAUGAAGCUGGAAUCGCUAGUAAUCGCGAAUCAGAAUGUCGCGGUGAAUACGUUCCCGGGUCUUGUACACACCGCCCGUCACACCAUGGGAGUCGGAAAUGCCCGAAGUCAGUGACCCAACCGAGAGGAGGGAGCUGCCGAAGGUGGAGCCGGUAACUGGGGUGAAGUCGUAACAAGGUAUC